rnacentral:rRNA from 1 species
CAAGUCGAGCGAACAGACGAGGAGCUUGCUCCUCUGACGUUAGCGGCGGACGGGUGAGUAACACGUGGAUAACCUACCUAUAAGACUGGGAUAACUUCGGGAAACCGGAGCUAAUACCGGAUAAUAUAUUGAACCGCAUGGUUCAAUAGUGAAAGACGGUUUUGCUGUCACUUAUAGAUGGAUCCGCGCCGCAUUAGCUAGUUGGUAAGGUAACGGCUUACCAAGGCAACGAUGCGUAGCCGACCUGAGAGGGUGAUCGGCCACACUGGAACUGAGACACGGUCCAGACUCCUACGGGAGGCAGCAGUAGGGAAUCUUCCGCAAUGGGCGAAAGCCUGACGGAGCAACGCCGCGUGAGUGAUGAAGGUCUUCGGAUCGUAAAACUCUGUUAUUAGGGAAGAACAAAUGUGUAAGUAACUAUGCACAUCUUGACGGUACCUAAUCAGAAAGCCACGGCUAACUACGUGCCAGCAGCCGCGGUAAUACGUAGGUGGCAAGCGUUAUCCGGAAUUAUUGGGCGUAAAGCGCGCGUAGGCGGUUUUUUAAGUCUGAUGUGAAAGCCCACGGCUCAACCGUGGAGGGUCAUAGGAAACUGGAAAACUUGAGUGCAGAAGAGGAAAGUGGAAUUCCAUGUGUAGCGGUGAAAUGCGCAGAGAUAUGGAGGAACACCAGUGGCGAAGGCGACUUUCUGGUCUGUAACUGACGCUGAUGUGCGAAAGCGUGGGGAUCAAACAGGAUUAGAUACCCUGGUAGUCCACGCCGUAACGAUGAGUGCUAAGUGUUAGGGGGUUUCCGCCCCUUAGUGCUGCAGCUAACGCAUUAAGCACUCCGCCUGGGGAGUACGACCGCAAGGUUGAAACUCAAGGAAUUGACGGGGACCCGCACAAGCGGUGGAGCAUGUGGUUUAAUUCG